AGUGAACGCUGGCGGUAGGCCUAACACAUGCAAGUCGAACGGCAGCACAGUAAGAGCUUGCUCUUACGGGUGGCGAGUGGCGGACGGGUGAGGAAUACAUCGGAAUCUACUUUUUCGUGGGGGAUAACGUAGGGAAACUUACGCUAAUACCGCAUACGACCUACGGGUGAAAGCAGGGGAUCUUCGGACCUUGCGCGAUUGAAUGAGCCGGUGUCGGAUUAGCUAGUUGGCGGGGUAAAGGCCCACCAAGGCGUCGAUGGGUAGCUGGCCUGAGUGGAUGACAGGCCACAGGGGGAGUGAGAUCCGGCCCAGACUAGUAGGGGAGGAAGGAGUGGGGAAUAGUGCACAAUGGGAGGAAGAAUGAUGAAGAAACGCCGAGUGAGGGAUGACGGCCGUCGGGUUGUAAAAAGAUUUCGCCGGUGACGAAGCGGGAGGGACGGGAAGGGGUAAAGGAGCACCGGCUAAUUACGU
rnacentral:rRNA from 1 species